UGUAUACCGUACCCUGUUGCUUCGGCGGGCCCGCCUCACGGCCGCCGGGGGGCCUCGCGCCCCCGGGCCCGCGCCCGCCGAAGACCCCAACACGAACACUGUCUGAAAAGUGCAGUCUGAGUCGAUUGUUACCAAUCAGUCAAAACUUUCAACAAUGGAUCUCUUGGUUCCGGCAUCGAUGAAGAACGCAGCGAAAUGCGAUAACUAAUGUGAAUUGCAGAAUUCAGUGAAUCAUCGAGUCUUUGAACGCACAUUGCGCCCCCUGGUAUUCCGGGGGGCAUGCCUGUCCGAGCGUCAUUGCUGCCCUCAAGCACGGCUUGUGUGUUGGGCCCCGUCCCCGGUACCCCCGGGGACGGGCCCGAAAGGCAGCGGCGGCACCGCGUCCGGUCCUCGAGCGUAUGGGGCUUUGUCACCCGCUCCGCAGGCCCGGCCGGCGCCAGCCGACCAACCCAACCAUUUUCUACAGGUUGACCUCGGAUCAGGUAGGGAUACCCGCUGAACUUAAGCAUAUCAAUAAGGCGAAAGGAA
rnacentral:rRNA from 1 species